GAUACGUAGUGUGAAUUGCAGAAUUCCGCGAAUCAUCGAGUCUUUGAACGCAAGUUGCGCCCGAGGCUUGUCCAAGGGCAUUUCCGCUAGAGCGUCACC
rnacentral:rRNA from 1 species